AAGACUAUACUUUCAGGGAUCAUUUCUAUAGUUCAUUGCUAGAGAAGUUUCUCUGAAUGUGUAGAAUACUGUGCAAAAUUUUUCGAGAAAAU
ensembl:snoRNA U3 Small nucleolar RNA U3